CCUUUUAAGUUGUUAGUGCUUCCUUCAAUUCUUAUUUCCUACAUACUCUUUUUAGUUCAUUCUCAUCCUUACUCUCUAAAUGAAGCCAAAAGUUUGAAGCUAUCAGUGUUAUACACCAUAUUCAUAUCUAUUGAAUUUUCAUACUCAUUUAUUUAAAGCAUCAAAAGUAAAUGAGUAAACCUUUUCAUUCAAUAGCCUUACAUUUAUUUAGCUGUUCAUUCAAUCCUAAAAUACUUUCUAGGUGGGAUCGAAUAAGUGUGAAUUUGUUGUUAGUUAAUCAGAUCUUCAAAACCCCACGUAGGUGGGACAUUGGGGUAAUAGAAUGUUGUUGGUAGUUAUGAGUCCUUUUGUGGUAUCUGCACCAACGUCUUGGGCUGCAGUGUCUUUGUUAAACGUCUCAGUUUGGUUUGUUCGAGAUUUACCAUGGGCAUCACUCGAUAUGUCACAACUACAGCGAAAAUAGGUAAAGUGAUGAUUUCAGAUUUACAAAUCAGGAGCACAGCACAGAUGGGUUGGUCUUCUGACAGCAGCAAGAGAAACAACAAACAAUGACUUAGAUUUCAGAUGCCUUGGAUUUUUUGCACCAAGAUUUCUGAUAAGGAUCAAUUUUUAACAAGGCACACAGAAAACAGAAACAAAUUUGUCACACUGUCAGCCAAUGCUUACAGAUUUCAGGGCAAAUGAAUGACUGAUUUCCUUCAGAUUUUGCUUCUAAAUUGUUUCAUGCAAUGACUAUAAUGAAUUAAAAACUUACACAUGAAUUCAAAGAACAACCUAUUGUAAUUAACAUUUUUUAGACAAUACAGAAGAAUACCAAUUGAUACCAA